UACAGAGGGGGCAAGCGUUGUUCGGAAUUACUGGGCGUAAAGGGCGCGUAGGCGGCCUUCUAAGUCGAACGUGAAAUCCCCGGGCUCAACCCGGGAACUGCGUCCGAGACUGAAAGGCUCGAAUCCGGGAGAGGGAUGUGGAACUGCGAGUGUAGAGGUGAAAUUCGUAGAUAUUCGCAAGAACACCAGUGGCGAAGGCGGCUCACUGGCCCGGUACUGACGCUGAGGUGCGAAAGCGUGGGGAGCAAACAGG
rnacentral:rRNA from 1 species